UCUCUGGUGGCUCAGACGGUAAAGUGUCUGUCUGCAAUGCAGGAGACCCAGGUUCGAUCCCUGGGCUGGGAA
rnacentral:tRNA from 1 species